rnacentral:rRNA from 1 species
UACGUAGGGGGCAAGCGUUGUCCGGAAUCAUUGGGCGUAAAGAGCGUGUAGGCGGCCAGAAAAGUCCGCUGUGAAAACUCGAGGCUCAACUUCGAGCUGUCGGUGGAAACUUUCUGGCUAGAGUCCGGAAGAGGAGAAUGGAAUUCCUGGUGUAGCAGUGAAAUGCGUAGAUAUCAGGAGGAAUACCGAUGGCGAAGGCAGGUCUCUGGGCUAUAACUGACGCUCAUGCACGAAAGCGUGGGGAGCAAACAGG